GAACGAAAUUAUGUUCAGUGCUGUGCGAGGAGCUGUUGUCACCAUGAACUGUGUAGACAAAUUUUAGACAAAGUUACCCAUUUAUUAAAUAUUUAUUCUCUUGUCAAAUAAACAAAAACAGGAAUGGAGAUAUGGAGACUGUGGAUGAUGUUCGGCGUUUACCUACUUUUUAUAGUCGGACAUUCAGGUUCGACUAUCGUAGGCUGUGAGCAGGGCAAAGUGGACGUGGAGGAAGGCACAAACCACUCAUUCUGGUGUUAUGGAUACACAUGGAGGGUUUAUGAUAACAAUGGAAAUACCCUCUGUGACUUGAACUAUUUCCCUUACUCGUGGUGGAGCUUGUAAUAUAUUUUGGUGUAUCAGAAUAUUCAUACAGUUUCUGUAGAAACUGCACAAAUGUGACCAGGAGAGACUCACUUCGCGGGAUUAUUUCGGAUUGUUAUGGGAGUCCUGGCAUAUUGCAGUUUAAAAACAUCUGCUACCCCAGUGUACAAGAAUGACAGCUGCGAUGUAAGUAUUUACGACUGGACGGUAUCCGGAAGCUGCUACAUAACAGGAAUGUAUUCUUCCGACAACAAUUACACAUGCAGCUGGAGAGAGCAAAAUAACAUUAAAGAGGAAUUCGGGGGAUGGAAUGUGCUGGAAGGUUAUACUGCGACUAACAAAAGACUCAUGCGAGGCGUUUGCUUAUUUACAAGACCAAUUCCUUUUCUUACCGGCUUUUAUACCUACAUUAUGAGAGUGUCACCCGGCUCUGAUGUGUUUACAAUAAAACAAUAA